UCCUUCAAUUUCAAUGGUGCCGUCCUUUUUAAAUGUGUUUUGUCUCCAUCCCAAUCAUUCACUUGUGAAACAAAAUCACUCAUCACUACUCCCAUUAACAUUGCCUAACCCACUUUUAUCAAAUAUUAGAAUCAAAAUAUCAGAAUUAAACUCACUUUGAACAAACCCUAGUUUUAUCAAAUAUCAGAAUCAAAAUAAAAGACUAAAGAACAUAUCCAGACGGCGACGGGGAUCUUCGGCUGUUCGUGUAGUCGUCAACGGUGGAACAAAUGAAGACGGCGGUGGCGGUGGCGGUGGUUUCGGCGUCACUCUCCUUGCUGCUAUUUUUUUCUGCUGUGUUGUGGCUUGAGUAAAUGUGAGGAUGAGAGGAAGGGAACAAAGAUUUUGUUUUUUUUUUUCAAUUGAAAAACUCAAAACGUCGUCCUUUUGAGUAAAAAAAUUCAGAAAAAAAAAGACACCUGCUAAGCAACCGCCGUUUUGCUUGAACCACCGGUUUUCCGGUUUUUUCCGGUUCUGCCCGGUUUCUCCGAUUUUCUUCCCUGCAAGAUAUCAAUUUGGAAAAAUGGAAAUGGACUUAAGUGGUAUGAUUUAGUCAAAUGGAAUAGACAAAAGGGGGGCUGGUGUUACUUUUGGAAUAUGGACAGAAAAUCAAGUGUAAAGCUUAAGAAAAGGGAUUACGACAAUCUUUCUCUGCUUGCACAUUGAUAAUGUAGUAGAACUCAUAGAAGAACUUUGCCACUUUGGAGUUGUUAAGACACAUGUAGUGAGACCUAAAGGAAAAUGCCAAGCUACUAUAGUUUGGCUGGAUGGUCUUGGUGAUAAUGGUUUGAGGUAUGCAUAUAUGCCAUCACUGGUUAUUAUUUUAGGGGCCUGAGUAUUUUAUAAUAUUGGUUUUAUUAUGAAGCUUCCUUGUAUUGAGAUUCUAAAUAGAAUAAAUGAUGUUGGAAAAAGUUGUUAAUAUUUUGAAAUAUGGAAAUUUGAUUUGGAAAAGUAUAUAUAAGAUUCUGGACUAAUGGACCACUUAAUAUAAUUUGAUUUACUACUAAAUUAAGUAGCUUGACAUGACUUAAAAAUUGACAAAAAGAAUAUUUAUAUGACAUGACUUAACAAUUAAUUAAGAUUUUUUUCUUUGAACAUCUACACAAAAAUUACCAUUGAAUAUAAUCAUUUUUAAUCUAUAUAUGUUUUAAUCUAGUAAAUAUGUGUUUUAACUCCUAAUUUAUGCUUACUAUAUUUUCUUUAUUUUAAUCUAUGUGACCAAAGUAACAAAUAUUCUAAGCUUGGUUUUGUUGCAGCUCAUAUCAUAUCAGCUCCUAGAAUCACUUUCUCUUUCAAAUGUAGGGCCUGUUUGUUUUGGCUUUUUUUUAAAAUGAUUUUUAUAGUGUUACUAAAUUUUGCGAAAAUUUUUUUUACAAAGAAACUUUUUAUAAAAGCUUCAAAUAAAAAAUCUGUUCGAAUAGUUAUUCUUAAAAUGUGAUUUUAGGUAUUUCAUCUAUUUAUGGGGAAAAAAUUUGGAUAUCAAAAUUUCAAAAAAUCACUUAAUUUUGAAGCUAUUUCAAAUAGAUUUUCAUAAAAAUCAUUUUUGAAAUACAACUUUUUGAAAAAAUUAUGAUUUUGACUAAGUUUUGGUCUUCAAUUAUGUAUGUUUAUGUUAUAUGAUGUCAAAUUAAGUGUUUCAUUUUAGAAAAAACGAAUAUAAAAAAACUUGUAAUAUUUUGAAAAACGGUUUUAGAAAAUCUAUUUUCAAAAAUACAAAGAAAAAAUCCAUUUUUUUAAAGCUGAAACAAACUGGCCCGUAAUUUAUGCUCCUAGAAUCACUUUCAAAUGUAAAUUUUAUCCUCUCAUCUGUCAAUGACACAUAUAAUUUAUAUAUGAUCAAGUUUAUUUUCACUAAGAAGAAAAAUUAAAAUGCGGUUAUUUGUGCCGAGAUGUAUGCAAAUUAGCUUUGGAAAUGGAAGAAGCAAGUUAGAUUAACAGAAAGAAAUGGUACUUGAUUCAGCUCUGUCGGAUGACCCAACUAAGUCCAAUGGUUGCAUAUAUGAAUCUUCAUUUUACAUCUUACAUUUGUUGAACUAAUGUAUAAAGCCUUUUUUCUUUUCUUUUUUAAUGUAUUAUUAUAGUUAGUAUCAAGCUACUCUGGUUGUGAAAGAGAUGUAAUAGCAGUAAUACUUGUUGUUACUAUUAGUAAUGUUUAAAUGAUAAGAUCUUUUCGGUGGCAUGAUUUUGGUUUUU